AUACAGCCAUGCCGCGUGCAGGAUGAAGGCCUUCGGGUUGUAAACUGCUUUUGUACGGAACGAAAAGACUCUUUCUAAUACAGAGGGUCCAUGACGGUACCGUAAGAAUAAGCACCGGCUAACUACGUGCCAGCAGCCGCGAUAAUAAGGGAGCCAG
rnacentral:rRNA from 1 species